AAGAAGGCGAGGCGUCAUGAAGAGGCUGGUGGGCGCUGUGCUGGGGCUUCUGUGUGCCCAGGUUUGCUGUGUGACAGGGCAGGAUGUGGAGCAGAGUCCUCCAGUCCUGAGUCUCCAGGAGGGAGCCACCUCCACGCUGUGGUGCAAGUUUUCCAGCUCUGUGAACAGUCUGCAGUGGUAUUCUCAGAACCCCGGGGGCCGCCUCAUCCACCUGUUUUCCGUUGCUUCAGGGACGAAGCGCGAUGGAAGAUUCAGUGCCACGACAGUCAUUCAAGAACGCCGCAGCUCCUUGAACAUUUCCUCCUCCCAGACCACAGACUCAGCCACUUACUUCUGUGCUGUGAGCACAGUGCUCCCCAGGCACCUGCAGCCUGAACACAAACCCUCAGCGGGCUCGGCCCCCUCCAGCCACAGUCUCACCAUGAGGCUGCCACCUGCAUCU